rnacentral:rRNA from 1 species
AUUGAACGCUGGCGGCAGGCCUAACACAUGCAAGUCGAACGGUAACAGGAAGAAGCUUGCUUCUUUGCUGACGAGUGGCGGACGGGAGAGUAAUGUCUGGGAAACUGCCUGAUGGAGGGGGAUAACUACUGGAAACGGUAGCUAAUACCGCAUAACGUCGCAAGACCAAAGAGGGGGACCUUCGGGCCUCUUGCCAUCGGAUGUGCCCAGAUGGGAUUAGCUAGUAGGUGGGGUAACGGCUCACCUAGGCGACGAUCCCUAGCUGGUCUGAGAGGAUGACCACGCACACUGGUACUGAGACACGGUCCAGACUCCUACGGGAGGCAGCAGUGGGGAAUAUUGCACAAUGGGCGCAAUCCUGAUGCAGCCAUGCCGCGUGUAUGAAGAAGGCCUUCGGGUUGUAAAGUACUUUCAGCGGGGAGGAAGGGAGUAAAGUUAAUACCUUUGCUCAUUGACGGUACCCGCAGAAGAAGCACCGGCUAACUCCGUG